CCAUGUGACGUUACCAAACUGUUGCCUCGGCGGGGUCACGCCCCGGGUGCGUAAAAGCCCCGGAACCAGGCGCCCGCCGGAGGAACCAACCAAACUCUUUCUGUAGUCCCCUCGCGGACGUAUUUCUUACAGCUCUGAGCAAAAAUUCAAAAUGAAUCAAAACUUUCAACAACGGAUCUCUUGGUUCUGGCAUCGAUGAAGAACGCAGCGAAAUGCGAUAAGUAAUGUGAAUUGCAGAAUUCAGUGAAUCAUCGAAUCUUUGAACGCACAUUGCGCCCGCCAGUAUUCUGGCGGGCAUGCCUGUCCGAGCGUCAUUUCAACCCUCGAACCCCUCCGGGGGAUCGGCGUUGGGGAUCGGGACCCCUCACCGGGUGCCGGCCCUGAAAUACAGUGGCGGUCUCGCCGCAGCCUCUCCUGCGCAGUAGUUUGCACAACUCGCACCGGGAGCGCGGCGCGUCCACGUCCGUAAAACACCCAACUUCUGAAAUGUUGACCUCGGAUCAGGUAGGAAUACCCGCUGAACUUAAGCAUAUCAAUAAGCGGAGGAA
rnacentral:rRNA from 1 species